rnacentral:rRNA from 1 species
AUUGAACGCUGGCGGCAGGCCUAACACAUGCAAGUCGAACGAGUGGCGGACGGGUGAGUAAUGUCUGGGAAACUGCCUGAUGGAGGGGGAUAACUACUGGAAACGGUAGCUAAUACCGCAUACCAUAGAAUUUGCCCAGAUGGGAUUAGUUAGUUGGGGGGGUAACGGCUCACCAAGUCGACGAUCCCUAGCUGGUCUGAGAGGAUGACCAGCCAAACUGGAACUGAGACACGGUCCAUACUACUACGGGAGGCAGCAGUGGGGAAUAUUGCACAAUGGGCGCAAGCCGGAUGCAGCCAUGCCGCGUGUAUGAAGAAGGCCUUCGGGUUGUAAAGUACUUUCAGCGGGGAGGCGUUACCCGCAGAAGAAGCACCGGCUAACUCCGUGCCAGCAGCCGCGGUAAUAC